GCGCAAGUGAAAUACCAC
rnacentral:snRNA from 1 species